GAAGGCGUUCUGCGUUGUAAACUUCUUUUAUAUGGGAAGAAACCUCAGUAUUCUUAUUGAGCCGACGGUACCAUAUGAAUAAGCACCGGCUAACUCCGUGCCAGCAGCCGCGGUAAUACGGAGGGUGCAAGCGUUAUCCGGAUUUACUGGGUUUAAAGGGUGUGUAGGCGGGCUUGUAAGUCAGGGGUGAAAUCCUACAGCUUAACUGUAGAACUGCCUUUGAUACUAUAAGUCUUGAAUAUUGUUGAGGUAGGCGGAAUACAUCAUGUAGCGGUGAAAUGCUUAGAUAUGAUGUAGAACACCGAUUGCGAAGGCAGCUUACUAAGCAAAUAUUGACGCUGAGGCACGAAAGCGUGGGGAUCAAACAGGAUUAGAUACCCUGGUAGUCCACGCCCUAAACGAUGAUUACUCGACGUGCGCGAUAUACAGUGCGCGUCUGAGCGAAAGCAUUAAGUAAUCCACCUGGGAAGUACGACCGCAAGGUUGAAACUCAAA
rnacentral:rRNA from 1 species